UACGAAGGGGACUAGCGUUGUUCGGAUUUACUGGGCGUAAAGCGCGCGUAGGCGGAUCGCUAAGUCAGGGGUGAAAUGCCAAGGCUCAACCUUGGAACUGCCUUUGAUACUGACGAUCUGGAGAUUGGGAGAGGUGAGUGGAAUUCCGAGUGUAGAGGUGAAAUUCGUAGAUAUUCGGAGGAACACCAGAAGCGAAGGCGGCUCACUGGCCCAAUACUGACGCUG
rnacentral:rRNA from 1 species